CAUAAGCAACUCCGCCAGGGUCCAGCCAGUCACUGCGCUUGGGGUGAUGUGUUGAGCCAAUAAGAACUCCGCUAACCAGAGAGUCCAGUCUCCAUGCACCAUGCGCCUAAGCACAUCUUUGGUAGUAAGGACAAUGUGUUCAGCUUGGCUGUUAGUGGCCGGGUGAAAAGGAGCAGAACAAAUGUGGAUUCCAUUCUUGGUCCCAUUAUUACUCAGCAGUAUGUCUGGCAAGCCGUGUGUUGCAAAUAGCUUCCUGAACGCGUUUACAGUAACUCUAGCGGACAUGGUUGAGGUCGGCACCACCUUGAGCCCCUUGGACUGAGAGUCGACUACUAUUAGGAAGUGUUGGCCCUGAAAAGGCCCCACGAAAUCCAUGUGCACCCGAGACCAUGGGGACUGUGUGGACUCCCAGGACCGUACUGGUGCCUUGGGUGGAUCCGGCCGGUAGACCUGGCAGGGCUCGCAACGUUUCACCCAGCCCUCUAUCUCCGCAUCUACAGUGGUGCCCCGCAAGACGAAUGCCUCGCAAGACGAAAAACUCGCUAGACGAAAGGGUUUUGCGGUUUUUGAGCUGCUUCGCAAGACGAAUUUCCCUAUGGGCUUGCUUCGCAAGACGAAAACGUCUUGCAAGUUUGUUUCCUUUUUCGUAAAACCGUUAAAACCCAGGGUGCAUUGCUGGAAGAGGUGCAGUUGCGACUUGACUUCGAGGAGCAACUCGUAGCACGCGGUGUGGUAGCCUUUUUUGAGGUUUUUGAAGACUUUGGCGAUUUUUGAAGCUUUUCCAAAACUUCUUUUGCAGCCAUUUGGUAAGUUAAACUUUUAAAACUUUUUUGGGGGUUUUUGGAUUUUGGAUUGGGGUGUUUGGAAUUCAAAGACUUGGUGUUGGGGAGGGGUUUGCAAGAAUCUGGAAACUUGUUUUUUUCCCCUGCAUUUUUAUGAUUUUUUGUGACCACUGGGCCACUCUGCUGUUUUUUUUUUAAAAAAAAUUCUGGGUUUGAAUUUCUGUGUGGUGGCUGGCUGGGGGAACAGUUGAGGGGGGGUUGCAAGAAUCUGGAAGCUUGUGUGGUUUUUUUUUUUUUUUGAAUUUUUAUGAUUUUCUGUGACCAUUGGGCCAUGUUUUUUUAAAAAAAAAAAUUCUGGGUUUGAAUUUCUGUGUGGUGGGUGGCUGGGGGAACAGUUGAGGAGGGGUUUGCAAGAAUCUGGGAGCUCGUGUGGUUUUGUUUUUGUUUUGUUUUUGAAUUUUUAUGAUUUUCUGUGACCAUUGGGCCAUGUUGUUUUUUUAAAAAAAAAAUUCUAGGUUUGAAUUUCUGUGUGGUGGGUGGCUGGGGGAACAGCUGAGGAGGUUUUUGCAAGAAUCUGGGAGCUUGUGUGGUUUUUUUUUUUUUUGAAUUUUUAUGAUUUUCUGUGACCAUUGGGCCAUGUUUUUUUUAAAAAAAAUUUCUAGGUUUGAAUUUCUGUGUGGUGGCUGGCUGGGGGAACAGCUGAGGAGGUUUGCAAGAAUCUGGGAGCUUGUGUGGUUUUUUUUUUGUUUUGGUUUUUUUUUUUUUUGAAUUUUUAUGAUUUUCUGUGACCAUUGGGCCAUGUUGUUUUUUUUCAAAAAAAUUUCUGGGUUUGAAUUUCUGUGUGGUGGGUGGCUGGGGGAACAGUUGAGGACGGGUUUGCAAGGAUCUGGGAGCUUGUGUGGUUGUUUUUGGUUUUUUUUCUUUUGAAUUUUUAAGAUUUUCUGUGACCAUUGGGCCAUGUUGUUUUUUUUAAAAAAAAUAAUCUGAGUUUGAAUUUCUGUGUGGUGGGUGGCUGGGGGAACAGUUGAGGAGGGGUUUGCAAGAAUCUGGGAGCUUGUGCAGGUUUUUUUUUUUUGAAUUUUUAUAAUUUUCUGUGACCAUUGGGCCAUGUUGUUUUUUUUCAAAAAAAUCUCUGGGUUUGAAUUUUUGUGUGGUGGGUGGCUGGGGGAACAGUUGGGGAGGGGUUUGCAAGAAUCUGGGAGCUUGUGUGGUUUUUUAUGCAUUUUUAUGAUUUUCUGUGACCAUUGGGCCAUGUUUUUUUUCAAAAAAAUCUCUGGGUUUGAAUUUUUGUGUGCUGGGUGGCUGGGGGAACAGUUGAGGAGGGGUUUGCAAGAAUCUGGGAGCUUGUGUGGGGUUUUUUUGUUUUUUUGUUUUUGAAUUUUUAUGAUUUUCUGUGACCAUUGGGCCAUGUUGUUUUUUUAAAAAAAAAAAUUCUGGGUUUGAAUUUCUGUGUGGUGGCUGGCUGGGGGAACAGCUGAGGAGGGGUUUGCAAGAAUCUGGGAGCUCGUGUGGUUUUUUUCUGCAUUUUUAUGAUUUUCUGUGACCAUUGGGCCAUGUUUUUUUUUUAAAAAAAAAAAAUUCUGGGUUUGAAUUUCUGUGUGGUGGCUGGCUUUGGGAACAGCUGAGGAGGGGUUUGCAAGAAUCUGGGAGCUCGUGUGGUUUUUUUCUGCAUUUUUAUGAUUUUCUGUGACCAUUGGGCCAUGUUGUUUUUUUUCAAAAAAAUUUCUGGGUUUGAAUUUCUGUGUGGUGGGUGGCUGGGGGAACAGUUGAGGAGGGGUUUGCAAGGAUCUGGGAACUUGUGUGGUUGGUUUUUUUUUGUUUGUUUGUUUGUUUUUGAAUUUUUAUGAUUUUCUGUGACCAUUGGGCCAUGUUGUUUUUUUAAAAAAAAAUUUCUGGGUUUGAAUUUCUGUGUGGUGGGUGGCUGGGGGAACAGUUGAGGAGGGGUUUGCAAGAAUCUGGGAGCUUGUGUGGGUUUUUUUUUAAUUUGUAUGAUUUUCUGUGACCAUUGGGCCAUGUUGUUUUUUUCAAAAAAAAAUUCUGGGUUUGAAUUUCUGUGUGGUGGGUGGCUGGGGGAACAGUUGAGGAGGGGUUUGCAAGAAUCUGGGAGCUUGUGCGGUUUUUUUUUUUGAAUUUUUAUGAUUUUCUGUGACCAUUGGGCCAUGUUGUUUUUUUAAAAAAAAAAUUCUGGGUUUGAAUUUCUGUGUGGUGGGUGGCUGGGGGAACAGUUGAGGAGGGGUUUGCAAGAAUCUGGGAGCUUGUGCGGGUUUUUUUGAAUUUUUUUGAUUUUCUGUGACCAUUGGGCCAUGUUGUUUUUUUUCAAAAAAAAAUUCUGGGUUUGAAUUUCUGUGUGGUGGGUGGCUGGGGGAACAGUUGAGGAGGGGUUUGCAAGGAUCUGGGAGCUUGUGUGGUUGUUUUUUUGUUUUUUGUUUUUUUUGAAUUUUUAUGAUUUUCUGUGACCAUUGGGCCAUGUUUUUUUAAAAAAAAAAAUUCUGGGUUUGAAUUUCUGUGUGGUGGGUGGCUGGGGGAACAGUUGAGGACGGGUUUGCAAGAAUCUGGGAGCUUGUGUGGUUUUUUAUGCAUUUUUAUGAUUUUCUGUGACCAUUGGGCCAUGUUGUUGUUUUUCAAAAAAAUUUCUGGGCUUGAAUUUCUGUGUGGUGGGUGGCUAGGGGAACAGUUGAGGAGGGGUUUGCAACAGUUGGGGAGGGGAUCUCAAUUUCUGUGUGGUGGGUGGGUGGCUGGGGGAACAGUUGAGGUUUUUGAAGACUUUGGUGAUUUUUGAAGCUUUUCCAAAACUUCUUUUGCAGCCAUUUGGUAAGUUAAACUUUUAAAACUUUUUUGGGGGUUUUUGGAUUUUGGGUUGGGUGUUUGUAAUUCAAGGACUUGGUUCUGGGUUUGAAUUUCUGUGUGGUGGGUGGCUGGGCGCUUUUGAAUUUUUUGGAUGUGAAGCACUGAUUCCUUUUUUUUUUUUUUUUUUUUGAGUUUGCGAAAGUAAGAGCUGUGCUGCCAUGGGACCCAAGAAGACUGCUGCUGCAGAGGCCGGCGAGAGGAAGAAGGAAAAGGUGACGCUGGAAAUGAAGAAGGAGAUCAUCCGGAAGCACGACGGUGGAAUGCGUGUGACAGACCUCGCCAGGGAGUACGGGAGGAAUCCAUCGACCAUCGGGACCAUCCGGAAGAUGAGGGAGAAGAUCCUUGCGACUGAUGCAGCCAAGGGAGUCAUCAGGAUCGUGAAGAACCGCCCAGCUGUUCUGGAGGAGGUCGAGAAGUUGCUGCUCAUCCGGUUAGAAGAGAAGCAGCGUGCAGGGGACACAGUGACUGAGGCCGUCAUUUGUGAGAAGGCCAAGGCCUUGCACGCAGACCUCAUUCGGGAACAGCCAGGAACCUCAGGCAAAGUCUUCAAGGCAAGCAGAGGUUGGUUUGACCGGUUCAAGGCAAGAUCUGGAAUCCACAGCGUGGUCAGGCAUGGAGAGGCUGCCAGUUCUGAUGUUCCUGCGGCUGAAGACUUUGCAGCGGAGUUCUUGGAGGCUGUGAAGACGGAGGGCUACAUUCCACAGCAGGUCUUCAACUGCGACGAGACCGGGCUGUUUUGGAAGAGGAUGCCCAAAAGGACUUUCCUCACACAGGAGGAGGCCAAGUUGCCUGGC